GCAUUAAUGGGGUAGUGGUAACCUGGGUCGUUGCCAUGAAAAGAACUUUGUGUGAUUUUCGACCCGCCGGGGGUUCGAUUCCCCCUUAAUGCA